rnacentral:rRNA from 2 species
UGACGGUACCUGCAGAAGAAGCACCGGCUAACUACGUGCCAGCAGCCGCGGUAAUACGUAGGGUGCGAGCGUUAUCCGGAAUUAUUGGGCGUAAAGAGCUCGUAGGCGGUUUGUCGCGUCUGUCGUGAAAGUCCGGGGCUUAACCCCGGAUCUGCGGUGGGUACGGGCAGACUAGAGUGCAGUAGGGGAGACUGGAAUUCCUGGUGUAGCGGUGGAAUGCGCAGAUAUCAGGAGGAACACCGAUGGCGAAGGCAGGUCUCUGGGCUGUAACUGACGCUGAGGAGCGAAAGCAUGGGGAGCGAACAGGAUUAGAUACCCUGGUAGUCCAUGCCGUAAACGUUGGGCACUAGGUGUGGGGACCAUUCCACGGUUUCCGCGCCGCAGCUAACGCAUUAAGUGCCCCGCCUGGGGAGUACGGCCGCAAGGCUAAAACUCAAAGGAAUUGACGGGGGCCCGCACAAGCGGCGGAGCAUGCGGAUUAAUUCGAUGCAACGCGAAGAACCUUACCAAGGCUUGACAUGUUUUCGAUCGCCGUGGAGACACGGUUUCCCCUUUGGGGCGGAUUCACAGGUGGUGCAUGGUUGUCGUCAGCUCGUGUCGUGAGAUGUUGGGUUAAGUCCCGCAACGAGCGCAACCCUCGUUCCAUGUUGCCAGCACGUUGUGGUGGGGACUCAUGGGAGACUGCCGGGGUCAACUCGGAGGAAGGUGAGGACGACGUCAAAUCAUCAUGCCCCUUAUGUCUUGGGCUUCACGCAUGCUACAAUGGCCGGUACAAUGGGUUGCGAUACUGUGAGGUGGAGCUAAUCCCAAAAAGCCGGUCUCAGUUCGGAUUGGGGUCUGCAACUCGACCCCAUGAAGUCGGAGUCGCUAGUAAUCG